rnacentral:pre_miRNA from 1 species
UUUGUGGGGAAUGUUGGCUGGCUCGAGGCUUUCAUACAAAGCUCCCGAGAGACGAACAGUACUCGCUUGCUGUAUAGCUUCGGACCAGGCUUCAUUCCCCUCAAA